rnacentral:rRNA from 1 species
AUGGAGCAAAGCGUGCUGAUAACGUGUUCCGCAGAGGCGGUGCAGGCGGCGGUGCCGGUGCAGGUGGUGGUCUUGGCGGAGGCGCAGGAAGCGGUGCCUGUGGUGGCCUUAGAGGUGGUUCAGGUGGAGGAGGAGGACUCGGUGGUGGUGCCGGAGGAGGUUCAGGUGGUGGACUCGGAGGUGGUGCCGGUUCCGGUGGUGGACUUGGAGGUGGCGCCGGAGGAGGUGCCGAUUCAGGUGGUCUCGAAUUGGUUCAUCAACACCCGCGUCCGGCUGUGGAAGCCCAUGAUCAAGGAGAUGUACCAGCAGGAGACCAAUGAGCUUGAGGGCACCUCCGCCGGCGGCCGCAGGGGCGGUCCCGAGUCUGGCGCCGACGACUUGCACUCCCCGACGACCACCGGCGCGCAGCAGCACCCGCAGCAGCAAAUAGUAAUGCAGCACGGCGGCGGCAGGUACGGCCAACAAGAGCACGGGACGUCCGGCGUCCACCCCCAUAAGCUCGACCCCGGCGCAGGGCCCUUGGUGGCGGACGCCGCCUUCGUCGGCCUUGACCCGGCGGAGCUCCUUGGCGGCGACGUGCACGUGGGUGCCGCGGACGACCUGGGAGGUUCGAGCCCGGGGUGA